UUUUGCAGCCAUACCACCCUGAACCCGCCCGAUCUCGUCUGAUCUCGGAAGCUACGCAAGGUCGGGCCUGGUUAGUACUUGUAUGGGAGACCACCUGGGAAGACCAGGUGCUGUAAGCU
rnacentral:rRNA from 1 species